GCCAUUGCUAAGUGUGCUGUUACGGGAGAAGAGAGAAGGAAAUGAUUAGCUCCAGCCAAAGCGGAGAGGAGAUCUUUCACAAAAGCGGAAAUCGCAAGAGAGUAUAAUUUCGGCAGUCUGCGGACAAAAGAAAGAAGGGAUGAGGGUACGGCGUGACACUCAAAGGGACAUACACUAAGACUGGCUAUGCUCCUGUCGUCUUUCUUUCCCCACCAAGCCCCCUGUGCCAGAGAAGCAUAUGCUACCUGAGAACAAUGCUUCAUGUUGAAGAUGGCAGAGUGAUAAUAUGGAAGAAAUCUUGAAUCCCUGAAUCAUCAUUUAAAGGAAAGCCACCUGGUGAUCAAGAAUGCUGGUUUGGACUGAGAAGUAAGCUGAGAAGCUGGAUUAUAUGAAGAAGAAUGGGGCAUGAGGAUUGGUGGAAGGCUCAUUAACAACCUGCAUUACGCAGAUGACACCACCUUGCUUGCUGAAAGUAAGGAGGACUUGAAACACUUACUGAUCAAUAUCAAAGACCACAGCCUUCAGUAUGGAUGACGCUUCAACGUAAGGAAAACAAAAAUCCUCACAACUGGACCAAUAAGCAACAUCACGAUAAAUAGAGAAAAGUUUGAAGUUAUCAAGGAUUUCAUUUUACUUGGAUCAACAGUCAACACCCAUGGAAGCAGGAGUCAAGAAAUCAAAAGAUGCAUUGCAUUGGGCAAAUCUGCUACAAAAGACCUCUUUGAAGUGUUGAAAGCAAGGAUGUCACCUUGAAGACUAAGGUGUGCCUGACCCAAGCCAUGGUAUUUUCAAUUGCAUCAUAUGCAUUCAAAAAUUGGACAAUGAAUAAGGAAGACAGAAGAACUGACGCCUUUGUGGUGUUGGCAAAGAAUAUUGAAUAUACCAUGGGGUGCCAAAAACAAACAAACAAAUCCAUCUUGGAAGAAGUACAACCAGAAUGCUCCUUAGAAGCAAAGAUGCCAAGACUAUGUCUGAAAUAUUUUGGACAUGUUGUCAAGAGAAAUCAGUCCCUGGAGAAGGACAUCAUCAUGCUUGGUCAAGUAUAGGGCCAAAGAAAAAGAGGAAGACCCUCAACAAGAUGGAUUGACACAGUGCUGCAACAAUGGGCUCAAGCAUAACAACGAUUCUGGGCAUGGCGCAGGACUGGGCAGUGUUUCAUUCUGUUUUACACAGGGUCGCUACGAGUGGAACCAACUUGAUGACACCUAACAACAACAACGAGACUGAAUUGUCCUUAUCGCCCCCAGUCUUCCUGGCCUCGUGGAAAGGACCAAAGGAAUCAUAAAAACUCAGUUGACAAAGCUCACAGCAUCUAUGGAAUUGACCUGACUGCAGGCCCCCCUGUUACUGUUAAUGAACCUAAAAGCCCCUCCUUUCGGCCUGAAUAAAUUAGCUCUUUUUGAGACUUUAAUGGGUCAGGCAAUGAACUUACUGUAUUCAAUAGUCAUUAUAGAUUCAAAUUUAAUCCAAGCUGAUUCGUUGAAGUAUUGCCAAUCUUUGAUUCAUUAUGCUAGAGAACAUGCUACCUUUCUUAAAGAGGCUUUUAACAAUAAGAAUAUUGGAGUGCCUGCUACCUCUCCUCUUCUACUAAGAGAUCAUGUCUAUUGGAACGGGCAUCAAUUAAAUGAUUCCCUUGAACCUUGAUGGAAGGGACCUUACUUAGUCUUACUCAUGAAUUCUUGUGCUGCCAAAUUACAGGGAGUCAAGGUGUGGAUUUAUUUAUCCCAACUAAAGAAAGCUCUGACUCACAAUUGGACUGUUGAGCCUCAUGAAGGACUGAAAUUAAAAUUCAAGCAUUACCAGGAAGAGAAACAGAUGACAGCUGGGUAGACUGCUUUCCCAAGAUUUCCAGAUUUGACCUGAAACCGCCUAUGCAGCUUGCAGUAAAAUUUGGACUGUUUGCCUUUUUCUUUAUCAUUUUAAGUGUGUUAGUAUUGUUAGUUGCUAUGUGUGAUUGUGGAAUUAUAUCUUGGUGGUUUUGGUGAUUAUAUUAUGCCAAUUGUAUCUUUUUAAAAUAAGUUGUGUAAAUGAGGGCUUUAACUCUUUUAAAAUUUUUUAUUAGCCACAGGGAUCAUAAUUUUUAGUUGUGGCUAUAUUGGUGAUUUUAGCAACUCAUUUGUGAGGCCACCUUCUGACCAUUAUAGUUAUUUUUGCUUAAUCCGAGUUUAUAACUUGUAUGGGAAUUUAGGAUCACUAGCUCUUUGCUUGUCUUAAGUUUUAUAAUCACUUCCACCAUUUAUAUUUUAUUAACCCCUUGCCAUUAAUGCCAGUUGCAGGUUAAUUUACUAAGAAUUUCAUGAAUUUUGAAAGAACUUGGUAUCUUUUUAUCAGCAGCAUUCUAGUUAUAUUGGUGAGUAGUCAUCUUAUUCUCGUUUAUGCCUUUCAUUGCUGAAGUUUAUUCUGUCAUCACUAUCAUUCGUGUGCUCAUAGCCCUUGUUUAUUUCUUUUGGGCUGUGUUUCUCCACUAUGAAGCCCUUCUUAAAUUUUCUGCCUGCACUGCAGCUCAUCCCAGCUCCCACUAACUCCUGGCACAAAAAUGCUUUUGUCAGGCUAGCUCAGGCAGUUGCAUGAUCCACAAAUCUUACUGAUUGCUGGAUCUAUCAUCCUUUACCCAAAACUGUACAUGAGAACUCAGAUCCAUUAGCUACUACCAUACUGAAUUAUAGUUAUUUUUCCCCCACUACCAUCAAUUUUAACAUCACCUUUAGGGAAGCCAUACUGUGUGAGACCGUGUCAUCCUUCUGAAAUACCUACUCAAUUCCUGGUCCCAUGUUUACAUCUGACACAGAUUAAAGAGUGUUCCAAAAAUACCCUGGACCUCUUCUUUAGAAAAAUGGGCCCUUAAUUACAUAUAACACCCUUCCCAGGUAUUGGAACGUGGCUUUUUCAGGAAAUUUAACAGCAGGUCUACAGGGAAAAAGGUCUUUUUUUGUCCAAAUAUGGAAUUGCCUAAAUUUAGGAUGACCGUCUAUUUGCAACAACUCCUUGACAGAGAAUUGGCUUAAACAGAUGAAUCAAACUAUCUCAGUUAUCUAGAACUGCUAUAAGAGAAAUACCUAUGUGUUGUAAAUCCUACCUAUAUGAUGUUAAUGAGGCAGGAUUAGAGACGGUUAUGUUAAUCAAUCUACAAGAUUAGGUUGUGUCUUAAGCCAAUCUCUUUUGAGAUACAAAAGAGAGAAGCAAGUAGAGAGACAGGGAGACCUCAUACCACCAAGAAACAAGAGCCAGCAGAAUAGCAUGUCCUUUAGACUGGGGUCUCUGAGCUGAGAAGC